AAUGAACGCUGGCGGCGUGCCUAACACAUGCAAGUCGCACGAGAAAGCUUCAGCUUGCUGAAGCAAGUAAAGUGGCGUACGGGUGAGUAACGCGUGGGUAAUCUACCUCCGAAUUGGGGAUAACCCGUCGAAAGGUGGGCUAAUACCGAAUAAUAUCUCUUGAACUUCGGUUCUUGAAAUCAAAGGUGGCCUCUCCGUGGAAGCUUCCGUUUGGAGAUGAGCCCGCGUACCAUUAGCUUGUUGGCAGGGUAACGGCCUACCAAGGCAACGAUGGUUAGCUGGUCUGAGAGGAUGGCCAGCCACACUGGAACUGACACACGGUCCAGACUCCUACGGGAGGCAGCAGUGAGGAAUUUUGCGCAAUGGGGGAAACCCUGACGCAGCAACGCCGCGUGAGUGAUGAAGGCCUUCGGGUCGUAAAGCUCUGUC
rnacentral:rRNA from 1 species